rnacentral:rRNA from 1 species
AGCGAACGCUGGCGGCAGGCCUAACACAUGCAAGUCGAACGGAUCCUUCGGGAUUAGUGGCGGACGGGUGAGUAACACGUGGGAACGUGCCCUUUGGUUCGGAAUAACUCAGGGAGACUUGAGCUAAUACCGGAUGUGCCCUUCGGGGGAAAGAGUUAUCGCCAUUGGAGCGGCCCGCGUCUGAUUAGCUAGUUGGUGAGGUAACGGCCCACCAAGGCGACGAUCAGUAGCUGGUCUGAGAGGAUGAUCAGCCACACUGGGACUGAGACACGGCCCAGACUCCGGCGGGAGGCAGCAGUGGGGAAUCUUGCGCAAUGGGCGAAAGCCGGACGCAGCCAUGCCGCGUGAAUGAUGAAGGGCUUAGGAUUGUAAAAUUCUUUCAGCGGGGACGAUAAGGACGGUACCCGCAGAAGAAGCUCCGGCUAACUUCGU